rnacentral:rRNA from 1 species
AAUCAACGCUGGCGGCGUGCCUAACACAUGCAAGUCGAACGCGAAAGUCCCGCAAGGGAUGAGUAGAGUGGCAAACGGGUGAGUAACACGUGGGUGACCUGCCUUCGAGUGGGGGAUAACGUCCCGAAAGGGACGCUAAUACCGCAUAACAUCCUGCCUUUGAAGAGGUGGAGAUCAAAGCUGGGGACCGCAAGGCCUAGCGCUCAAAGAGGGGCCCGCGCCUGAUUAGCUAGUUGGUGGGGUAACGGCUCACCAAGGCUACGAUCAGUAUCCGGCCUGAGAGGGCGGACGGACACACUGGGACUGAGACACGGCCCAGACUCCUACGGGAGGCAGCAGUGGGGAAUUGUUCGCAAUGGGCGCAAGCCUGACGACCGCAACGCCGCGUGGAGGAUGAAGACCUU